UGAGGAAUAUUGGUCAAUGGAGGCAACUCUGAACCAGCCAUGCCGCGUGCAGGAUGACGGUCCUAUGGAUUGUAAACUGCUUUUGUACGGGAAGAAAUGUAUCUACGUGUAGGUAUUUGACGGUACCGUAAGAAUAAGGAUCGGCUAACUCCGUGCCAGCAGCCGCGGUAAUACGGAGGAUCCGAGCGUUAUCCGGAAUUAUUGGGUUUAAAGGGUUCGUAGGCGGUUGAGUAAGUCAGUGGUGAAAUCUUAUAGCUUAACUAUAAAAUUGCCGUUGAUACUGCUUGACUUGAAUAGUAUGGAAGUAAUUAGAAUAUGUAGUGUAGCGGUGAAAUGCUUAGAUAUUACAUGGAAUACCAAUUGCGAAGGCAGAUUACUACGUACUUAUUGACGCUGAUGAACGAAAGCGUGGGUAGCGAACAGG
rnacentral:rRNA from 1 species